GUAGGUGAACCUGCGGAAGGAUCAUUAGUGAAUAUAGGGUGCUCUUUUCUGCGGAAGCGAUUAGAGGCCUGACCUCCACUAUCCAACACUGUGCACUAUAGCGAGUUUCGUGAACCUUUUGGGGACGGCUUCGGCUUACCCUAGAGUAGUUACUUGCACCCUUUUUAACACUAGUCAAAGAAUGUAACAAAAAUAUAACAAAAAAAAACUUUCAACAACGGAUCUCUUGGCUCUCGCAUCGAUGAAGAAC
rnacentral:misc_RNA from 1 species